CCCUUAGAUGUUCUGGGCCGCACGCGCGCUACACUGAUGCAUUCAACGAGCCUAUCCUUGACCGACAGGUCCGGGUAAUCUUUGAAUCUGCAUCGUGACGGGGAUAGAUUAUUGCAAUUAUUAAUCUUCAACGAGGAAUGCCUAGUAGACGCAAGUCAUCAGCUUGCGUCGAUUACGUCCCUGCCCUUUGUACACACCGCCCGUCGCUCCUACCGAUUGGGUGUGCUGGUGAAAUGUUCGGAUCGGCCGUUUGUCGCGGUUUCCGCGUCAUGUGGCUGAGAAGUUCAUUAAACCCUCCCACCUAGAGGAAGGAGAAGUCGUAACA
rnacentral:rRNA from 1 species